rnacentral:rRNA from 1 species
AAUGGGCGAAAGCCUGAUGCAGCGACGCCGCGUGAGGGAUGACGGCCUUCGGGUUGUAAACCUCUUUCAGCAGGGAAGAAGCGAAAGUGACGGUACCUGCAGAAGAAGCACCGGCUAACUACGUGCCAGCAGCCGCGGUAAUACGUAGGGUGCGAGCGUUGUCCGGAAUUAUUGGGCGUAAAGAGCUUGUAGGCGGUCUGUCACGUCUGCUGUGAAAAUCCGGGGCUCAACUCCGGACCUGCAGUGGGUACGGGCAGACUAGAGUGUGGUAGGGGAGACUGGAAUUCCUGGUGUAGCGGUGGAAUGCGCAGAUAUCAGGAGGAACACCGAUGGCGAAGGCAGGUCUCUGGGCCAUAACUGACGCUGAGAAGCGAAAGCAUGGGGAGCGAA